rnacentral:rRNA from 1 species
UGGGGAAUUUUCCGCAAUGGGCGAAAGCCUGACGGAGUGACGCCGCGUGGGGGACGAAGGCCUUCGGGUCGUAAACCCCUGUCAGAGGGAAAGAAGGGUGUCGGUGUUAAUAGCGCCGGCAUCUGACGGUACCUUCAGAGGAAGCCCCGGCCAACUCUGUGCCAGCAGCCGCGGUAAGACAGAGGGGGCAAGCGUUGCUCGGAAUUACUGGGCGUAAAGGGCGCGUAGGCGGGAUGGCAAGUCGGUCGUGAAAUCCUUCGGCUCAACCGAAGAACGUCGGCCGAUACUGCCGUUCUUGAGGGAUGCAGAGGAGAUUGGAAUUCCCGGUGUAGCGGUGAAAUGUGUAGAGAUCGGGAGGAACACCGGUGGCGAAGGCGGGUCUCUGGGCAUCUCCUGACGCUGAGGCGCGAAAGCGUGGGGAGCAAACGGGAUUAGAUACCCCGGUAGUCCACGCUGUAAACGAUGACGACUAGGUGUGGGGAGGGUUAGUCCCUUCCGUGCCGCAGCUAACGCAUUAAGUCGUCCGCCUGGGGAGUACGGCCGCAAGGUUGA